rnacentral:rRNA from 1 species
GCAUUAGUGUUAAGGUAGCAUAGUAAUUAGUUUUUUAAUUGGAAAAUGGAAUGAAUGGCUCCACUAAAGCAUAGUAUUUAUACUAAAAAAUGAAAUUUUAAUUUAAGUGAAAAUACUUAAAUGCUAUAUUUAGACGAGAAGACCCUAUGAAGCUGGUAGACCAUAAGUGUAAUUAUUUCAUAGUAGCAGGUCUAUUUUUUGGGGUAAAAUUUAAUAAUUAUAUUAAUACAGAUUUGUUUAAACUUAUCCUUCUGGAAUUAUGAAUAAGCUCCUCUAGGGAUAACAGCAUUAUGCUUAAAAGAGUUCUUAUCAGAAUAAGCGUUUGUGACCUCGAUGUUGAAUA